UCUCUAAUUGAUCUUUCUCUAAUUGAUUGUUGACUGAAGAAGAAAGCUCCAAACUGUAAUGUAAUCACUUGUAACAAAAAGUUGAAAACCUAAGAAGAUAAAUGUCAAAAUUAGAGAUUGAGCAGAAAUUAUUCUUAGAUCUAAUACUUAUAUCCAUAAUUGAUUGAAUAGAAACAUGAAGAAUUAAUAAAAAAUCAAUUACCUUUUCGACGAUGAAAGUAGUCAGUGAUGUUGUUUUGUGAAAAGGAAAGAGAGAGAAGAAUAAGAGGAAGAAGAUUAUGAUGAAGAGAAGAGAGAUAUGGAAAGAGAUGAAGAGGAGAAGGAAGGAGAAGAAGAGAUCGAUAAACCUUCAACCCUUCUCCAUGAUUUCUUCUUUUUUCUUCUUUUUUUCGUGAGUUCUUUUCUUCUUCUUUGUUCGUGUUUUU
rnacentral:lncRNA from 1 species